CUGACCACAUGCAGCCUGCAUUUUGGAGCGGCAUUCUGCAAGCAGUUCUGGUGUUUCUUUCCAGGAAGGGCUGCUUUCACACCCUCUAUGUUGCAAGAGCUGGGCAGGAUUGCUUAUUUUCCAUCGGCUCUUGUUGUGCUUGGAUCAGUCAGCCUUAGGGACUGGGAAGCGCACGGUGCACGCAGCUCGGCUUUUGUAACUGGUAAUUUGGUUUGGAAAUGUUAUCCAAACAAACAGCAGGAUGAGAGUUAAGACCUGUGCAGAAUCUGCUCCGUCAGAAACGAGUUCAGAGUCAGUUCUGCCUGCCUAAACAUUUCGCCCAACAGCUCAUUAAAAUGGAAAUAUUCAAAGGAGACUUUUCCCCCCCGAUUAGAUCGUUCCUUUGAUAAGAGCAUUAACGAGCAUAUUUUCCCAUAAAUAAAAUGAACAAGCCUCGAGGGCAGGGAAGGUUGUUUCGCCUGCAAUGAGUUAUGUGCCAUGCUCGUCCUUUUGCUGCUAUGGGAAUCACUUUGCCCCUUUGCUGCAGCUGGGAACAACCUGAGAACGGCCUCAGUGCAGCAGAGCUGGCAACGUGGGCUCUCUUCCAGAUGUAGACAUCUACUUCUUGCAGCUUUUUUCUGGGUAUAACCCCAAAAGCUGCUCGGAGUGGUGCCAGCACCCAGCACAGCCCCUCGGUGACAUUGGUGACACAGGAGGGGACAGGCAGUGCUCCUGCCAGCCUGUUUGUUUGAGCUUCAUGCAGCCUCGUGCUUUCUAUCCAUGAGCUCCUGUGGUUGAACCAAUAUUGACUCAGGGCUGUGUGUACAGAGCUGGUCAGCGAUUCCCCCAGAGCUGCUGCUGGCCAUCGGGCAGCUCAGCGGGAUGCUCAGCAGCUCAGGUUGGUGACAGCUGGUAAAGAAUGGAAAAUGCUCAUGAAUUUCAGACUGCUGAGCCCAUUUUCAGACUUCCAAACCACAGGUGUGAGGACACACGAUGGCACAUGCCAUUGAGG
rnacentral:lncRNA from 1 species